GAGAUGAGUAUUGUGUUGGGACCACUUACAACAAACAGAUACCGGUCACAUGCCAUUGAGAGACAGGCAGCUAGCUCAUGACUCUGUGGUGAAAAGCAGGGCUCUAAAAGCUUUUCCAAUCAGGAUAGUCUUUUGGGCAAGCUGGUCUGCUCCCAUGGGAACACUAGGAUCUGAUUUUUCUUUUCCUUCUUUUGUUGACGGGGACUUGGGCACCCCCCCACGUUCUGAGAAGCCAAAGUGCUGGGACUUCAGCCAUGGCCACCCUGCCCAGCUCAGAAACAGUCACUCUUUGUCUCAUAUUCAUCAAGUCUAUUAUUUCAGCUGGAAAGCCAUCUCAACACCCGCCUGUAGAACGGUGGAAGAAUUUCUGGCUGGGAGUUCAGCUCUGGGAUACAGUGAUUGCUACCGAGAAGAAAACCCUCGGUUCGAUCUCCAGAACAAAACCAAAAUAAAACAACAAAACCAA